rnacentral:rRNA from 1 species
AGUGAACGCUGGCGGUAGGCCUAACACAUGCAAGUCGAACGGCAGCACAGUAAGAGCUUGCUCUUACGGGUGGCGAGUGGCGGACGGGUGAGGAAUACAUCGGAAUCUACUUUUUCGUGGGGGAUAACGUAGGGAAACUUACGCUAAUACCGCAUACGACCUACGGGUGAAAGCAGGGGAUCUUCGGACCUUGCGCGAUUGAAUGAGCCGAUGUCGGAUUAGCUAGUUGGCGGGGUAAAGGCCCACCAAGGCGACGAUCCGUAGCUGGUCUGAGAGGAUGAUCAGCCACACUGGAACUGAGAAACGGUCCAGAUCCCUACGGAGGCAGCAGUGGGGAAUAUUGGACAAUGGGCGCAAGCCUGAUCCAGCCAUACCGCGUGGGUGAAGAAGGCCUUCGGGUUGUAAAGCCCUUUUGUUGGGAAAGAAAAGCAGCAGGUUAAUACCCCGCUGUUCUGACGGUACCCAAAGAAUAAGCACCGGCUAACUUCGUG